rnacentral:rRNA from 1 species
AACGUAGGACGCAAGCGUUAUCCGAAGUUACUGGGCGUAAAGCGCGGGCAGGCGGUUCUGCCAGUCUGAUGUGAAAUCUCCUCGCUCAACGGGGAGCAGCCAUUGGAAACUACAGAACUGGAGUCUGACAGAGGUAGGCGGAAUUCCGGGUGGAGUGGUGAAAUGCGUAGAGAUCGGAAAGAACACCAACGGCGAAAGCACUCUGCUGGGCCGACACUGACACUGAGAGACGAAAGCUAGGGGAGCGAAUGGG